UAAAGUUUUUUCGGCCAGGGAUGUGCUCGCGGCCUAUCAGCUUGUUGGUGGGUAAUGGCCUACCAAGGCUUCGACGGGUAGCCGGCCUGAGAGGGUGACCGGCCACACUGGGACUGAGACACGGCCCAGACUCCUACGGGAGGCAGCAGUGGGGAAUAUUGGACAAUGGGCGGAAGCCUGAUCCAGCAACGCCGCGUGAGGGAUGACGGCCUUCGGGUUGUAAACCUCUUUCAGUACCGACGAAGCGCCGAUGAUGGUGGUGACGGUAGGUACAGAAGAAGCACCGGCCAACUACGUG
rnacentral:rRNA from 1 species